rnacentral:lncRNA from 1 species
AUGCAUAUAAAAUAUAUGCACUAUCAAUUCCUUUUCGGGUCGUAAUCAGCACUGAAAAACCCCAACUACGCCGCCAUCACCAUGUGACCCAUACCACCCAUGUAUUUAUUAUUAUUAUUAUUAUUUUCCUUCUUUCCCAUUCUCCAGUAACCUUUGAACAUUCCAUUAGAUUUAGAAACAUAAAUCACAAUCCCAAUCCUAAAUCCGGUCUAUUACUUUAAAAGUCCUACUGUCUUGAAAUCAAGUUACUUUAUUGAAUGCCCAGUGAGUUCCAAUGUUGAAGACUUGAUAAGUACCAGACAUUCCAGCAGUACCUGAGUUUGAACCAUGGAGUGUCAUGGAAGUUUCACAGUAUAUAUACAUUUGCAUGACACUGAUGCCAAAAUAAAAUCAAGCUCGGCCCACUUGCCACACCACCGAAUCAACCACAACAACCCUAAAAAAAA